rnacentral:rRNA from 1 species
AAUGAACGCUGGCGGUAGGCCUAACACAUGCAAGUCGAACGGCAGCACAGAGGAGCUUGCUCCUUGGGUGGCGAGUGGCGGACGGGUGAGGAAUACAUCGGAAUCUACUCUGUCGUGGGGGAUAACGUAGGGAAACUUACGCUAAUACCGCAUACGACCUACGGGUGAAAGCAGGGGAUCUUCGGACCUUGCGCGAUUGAAUGAGCCGAUGUCGGAUUAGCUAGUUGGCGGGGUAAAGGCCCACCAAGGCGACGAUCCGUAGCUGGUCUGAGAGGAUGAUCAGCCAAAAUGGAACUGGGACACGGUCCAGACUCCUACGGGAGGCAGCAGUGGGGAAUAUUGGACAAUGGGCGCAAGCCUGAUCCAGCCAUACCGCGUGGGUGAAGAAGGCCUUCGGGUUGUAAAGCCCUUUUGUUGGGAAAGAAAUCCAGCUGGUUAAUACCCGGUUGGGAUGACGGUACCCAAAGAAUAAGCACCGGCUAACUUCGUGCCAGCAGCCGCCGUAA